AUAAAGCUAAGUUGGAUCUGUUAGAACAGCAGAGCUGAGGAGCUUAGAUGCAGCCAGAUGGAGCAGGCUUGAUCAGCAGACAGAGGUGUAGUCGUCAAUCCAGGUCAUGCACUGGAAAAGUAGACAGGUACAGAGGGAUCAAACAGAAGCAGAGUCAGGUAACAGUAGAUCAGAACAGCAGUAGAUACCCUCACAUGUAGUAAAACUAAACUAAUGCUCAGGCACCAUAGGAAGGGAGGAGGGCUCUUGUAUAGGUUGGUGCCUGGCAGUAAUUGGAGGAGGACAGGAAACAGGAAUGCAAGUGGACCCUUAAAGAAACAGCCCGUGCAUGCAUGCGGGUCCUAUGGGUUGCAAAAGAAACUGUCACCACCUGCAGCAGUACUGAGAUGAAUUCCCAAAGUCUGCAGUGGGAGGAGAAGCCAAGUGUAUAGGGAGGAGGAGCCGGCUUGGCCGCGGUUAUUUCUGAUGCACUAGAUGUGGAAAUGAUUCCAGGAUUCAUUUGACAGAAUAGAAGGAAGACAACCUCUUUAAGGCAGGAAAAUGAAUUUGGGCUUUUUUUCUGAGUUCCAGCUUAAGAAGAAAAUGUUCACUUUGGCUGCGGUUUAUGAAAACUCUUGUAACUGGAUGCAUAAGGCUCAAAGGUUUAUACCAACUGAAAGGCAAAGACUAAAAGUCAUCUGUGCCAAAGGCCUUGUCAAAGCUGGCUUGAAAAGUUUUAAGGCAUCUUAGUUGAAAACGAAUAUGUGCUGAAGGCAUUUCCUGAGAAAUAGACAGCGCCGGAGGGAACAUGGAACAUCAGCGAUUGCGAGAGAAGAGGGUGUCAGUUCUAUGGGUUAUAGGGUAAAAAAAAAAAAGAAAACUAUUUUUAGUUCUUUGUCCAAAAAGGGUGGUAGGCACUACAGACAUUGUGGAACAAUCCAUUAACCCCUUCUGAACCAAAUAGUGAGUAGACAACUCAUAAAGAUUUGUCAGCUUUACCUCUUUCUGGUU